GCAGGUACAGAGGGAUGCUACCGGGCGACCGGAUGCGGAUCUCGAAAGCCUGUCCCAGUUCGGACUGGAGUCUGCAACCCGACUCCACGAAGUUGGAUUCGCUAGUAAUCGCGCAUCAGCCAUGGCGCGGUGAAUACGUUCCCGGGCCUUGUACACACCGCCCGUCAAGCCAUGGGAGCCGGGGGCGCCUGAAGUCCGGGACCGCGAGGACCGGCCUAGGGCGAAACUGGUAACUGGGGCUAAGUCGUAACAAGGUAAC
rnacentral:rRNA from 1 species